UAACUCUUCUUUUUUUUUUUUUUUUUAAAGAAGAAUGGAACUUAAAUCUUUAUUUACAGGACACGACAGGGUACGAAAUUCCACAUAGAAAUAAACUCAGAGGACAGCUUCAUAGAGUAUGUACAGUUUAUAACUGUUCAAGUAUAGUUUCUUUUGUAAAAAGUGCUACAAUAACAAACCACAUUUAAAAAGAGUUCUUAGUAGAGAAACAGUAAGACAAAUUUAUGAGAACACAGCACAGCACAGCACAUAGCUAACAACUUUGUGCUUUGGCUGGACAUUAGAAGUUAAAGGUCCCGGGAGCUCCAUCCUGAACUUGGAAGGCGAAGCCUUCAGAGGUAGUUUCUGGCACCACAUUUUGAUCUUCCUCUUCCUCCACUGAGAAGUACUUCUCAAUUAGGUUCAACGAGGCCUUGUACACAGACUCGUUCUCAUGGCUCUGUAGGGCUUCAAUUUUAUCCAAGCCUCCACACUCUUCAAUCAUUAUACUGAGUUUUUCUGUCUCACCUAGUUUCUCUGCAGCCUGAAAGAUAUUUGAAAUAGCAUCAAGAAUAACCUGAAUAAUUUUGGUAUCUUUUGCACUCAAGAGGUUCAUCAAGGGUUCUAUUAUUCCACAAUGAACCAGAUACACAAUCUGUUCAACAGUCCCGCCGCUGGUGUAGUUGGUUAUAGCCCAUGCGGCUUCCUUCUGUGUCUUAAAGUCUGCCUUAGAGAGGACACCAAUGAGAAAUGGGACGAGGCCGUGAUUCACCACUUGCUGUAUCUGGUCCUGGCGCCCGGCGGUAAUGUUCGACAUUGUCCAUGUGGCCUCCUUCUGAAUAUUAGUUUUGGGGUUUGUCAGCAGGCUGGGAAAGACUGCAAGUGCCCCUGCAUCGAUCACUUUCUGAGUCUGUUCAUCUGUUCCGGUGACAAUAUUCCCUAUGGCUCUCAGUGCCGGCGUCACAAUGGGCAGUUCAGUAGCUCCUAGAAGCUUCACAAGUUGGGGAACAACUCCCUUCUUCACAACCAUCUCGAUGCGCUCAUUCGGCCCAUCAGUCAGAUAGGAAAUGGCCCAGCAGGAGUCUGCUAAUACUUCUGGAUCGUUGUGGUGUAGGAGUCGAACUAGAGUAGGAAGGAUCUGCUCAACAGCAUCUAAGGGGGGUGCAGGAUUCUUGUUCCGACAGAGGUUUGAAAGUGUCCAGGUAAGAUUCCGCAAGUAACCACAUGCCAAGGAUGACAGAUCAGGAACUGCGAGAAGUGCCAACAGUGGGUCAAUUGCACCAUGUUUGAUAACCAAGUCUCGGAAAACUGAGCCAUCACCUGCAAUGUUUCCAAGAGCCCACACAGCUUGCUCGCUGAUGUGAGCAUGGGGCGACGCCAAGAGAGAAAUAAAUGCUGGGAUAGCACCUCCAUCCACCACAGCUUUGGUCUGUUCGGAUGUUCCAGAAGCAAUGUUGGUGAGCGCCCAAGCAGAUUCAAACUGAAUGGGACUACAAUCCGUUUUGCCCAAGAAGGACACAAAUUUUGGGAUCAAACCAGCCCGGAUGAUGUUGUCUAUAGGAGGCUGCUUCUCUCUUGAAAGCAGUUUCCGAGCAGCUUGAGUAGCUUGGAGCUGGCUUUCCAAAUUGUUACUGUUUAUGCCUUUAACAAUGUCCUCAACAGACCAAUUUACAGUACCCUGGUUGUUUCGGUUUUCCUGUAGUGGAGAAGUAGCGUCAUCAGGGAAUGAGCUGACGUUCCUCCUUUUCAGCAUCUGGUCAUCUUUUUUAGCUUUCCUAAGUUCCACAUUAACCUCUAUUCGGCGGCGCCGCAUUUCUGUACUGUCUUUCCCCUUGUUCUUGAAUCUGUUAAGCCGGGCAGCUGUUGAGUUAGCAUUCUCAUUGGUGGACAUGGUUGCUGCAGGAACAAGGAGGAAGGAAAGCUGCACAGCCGGUUCAGACUUCCACGAAAGUCGGUGCAGGGCUCUCAAGCUGCGGGUCGGCGGCUGUCGAAACGUCCACUAGCCCUCAGCCCUCAGACUUUGUG
ensembl:lncRNA LOC100359600 karyopherin alpha 2-like